GGUGGAUGGUCUCCGGCUGGACGUCCAGGAUCCUCUGCGUCCCGGUGGUGGCGAGGCCGCCCGCCUGCUCGAUGAGGAACGCGAUGGGGUUGCACUCGUACAGGAGCCGCAGCUGCAGAGCAUCAUGGGAGACCCGGACUCACCCGUUUGUAGAUGGCGAAUAUGGUUCCGAUUGAGGCCAAACAGUCGAUGUUACUGGAGCCGUCCAGAGGGUCGAAGCAGACCACGUACUUCCCCUGGAAGCAGCACCGAACCUCGUGAGACUUCCAGCACGUUUACACGAAACGACAAACUGCUUCUUUAGAAAACAAUCAGCCUCUGGUUCCACUCUCACACUGGAUCAGCUUCACGUUUCUGGACCGUUCUGGCUUCAGCUCUUUAGGUCAAAACUGUGGUUCCAGCCCCACAGCAUGCUGCUACCACCCCCAUGCCGAUUACUUUGAAGUUUUGAUUUGUUCAUUAGUGACACCUGUUUUUUUAAUUUAAUUUAUUUUUUUUGCAGUUUGAACGCCACUUUGUUGCUUCAGUUUUUGUCGCCCUUUGUUCAUCAAGUUAAUUAAAUCUCACAAAUGAAA